GAUGAACGCUGGCGGCGUGCCUAAUACAUGCAAGUCGAGCGAACAGAUAAGGAGCUUGCUCCUUUGACGUUAGCGGCGGACGGGUGAGUAACACGUGGGUAACCUACCUAUAAGACUGGUAUAACUCCGGGAAACCGGGGCUAAUGCCGGAUAACAUGUUGAACCGCAUGGUUCUACAGUGAAAGGCGGCUUUGCUGUCACUUAUAGAUGGACCCGCGCUGUAUUAGCUAGUUGGUGAGGUAACGGCUCACCAAGGCAACGAUACGUAGCCGACCUGAGAGGGUGAUCGGCCACACUGGAACUGAGACACGGUCCAGACUCCUACGGGAGGCAGCAGUAGGGAAUCUUACGCAAUGGGCGAAAGCCUGACGGAGCAACGCCGCGUGAGUGAUGAAGGUCUUCGGAUCGUAAAACUCUGUUAUUAGGGAAGAACAAAUGCGUAAGUAACUGUGCGCGUCUUGACGGUACCUAAUCAGAAAGCCACGGCUAACUACGUG
rnacentral:rRNA from 1 species